AUCGCUUCUCGCCCUUUUGGCUAAGAUCAAGUGUAGUAUCUGUUCUUAUCAGUUUAAUAUCUGAAGAGGACGUCGGCUGUGCUUGGGCUUAGUUUUAGAAGGAGUUCGGGGGAGACUAUAU
rnacentral:snRNA from 1 species